rnacentral:rRNA from 1 species
AGUGAACGCUGGCGGUAGGCCUAACACAUGCAAGUCGAACGGCAGCACAGUAAUAGCUUGCUCUUACGGGUGGCGAGUGGCGGACGGGUGAGGAAGACAUCGGGAUCUACUUUUUCGCGGGGGAUAACGUAGGGAAACUUACGCUAAUACCGCAUACGACCUACGGGUGAAAGCAGGGGAUCUUCUGACCUUGCGCGAUUGAAUGAGCGGAUGUCGGAUUAGCUAGUGGGCGGGGUAAUGGCUCACUAAGCCGACGAUCCGUAGCUGGUCUGUGAGGAUGAUCAGCCACACUGGAACUGAGACACGGUCCAGACUCCUACGGGAGGCAGCAGUGGGGAAUAUUGGACGAUGGGCGCAAGCCUGAUCCAGCCAUACCGCGUGGGUGAAGAAGGCCUUCGGGUUGUAAAGCCCUUUUGUUGGGAAAGAAAAGCAGCAGGUUAAUACCCAGCUGUUCUGACGGUACCCAAAGAAUAAGCACCGGCUAACUUCGUG